rnacentral:miRNA from 1 species
UAUUAGGUUGGUGCAAAAGUAAUUGCGUUUUUUUUUGCCAUUACCUUUAAAAAAUCGCAGUUGCCAUUACCUGCAAAAACCGCAAAUACUUUUGCACCUACCUAAUAUUUUCUA